AGUGCCAUCGCGCGGAGAGGAGGGGGUGCGCUUCCGCGGGCGGGGCGCGGAGCCCGCCGUCUCGGAGGCCGCGGCUCGGCCCGGCACUGCGGAGGGCCGCUUGAUUUCCCGGAACCCAGGUCGCGCGGCUGCUAGGGCCGGAGCCGGUGGAUCCGAGCGGGUGCCACCAGCGGCGGCGCGCCGCCUCCCCCGGUGGGAGCGGUGGUUGGGCCAGGCUGCGGCAGAGCGUUCGCUCGGAGAUGGCGGAGCAGCCGCGACGCGGCCCGUGGCCCCGAAAGCAGGGAAGCCGGGCAGCCCCGGGACGCGGCGGAGCCCGGGGACAGCGGGGACGCCGCCCAGUCCUCCGGGUAUGAAGCUAAAAUGCAGCGGCUAAGAACGCGGCUCUGGAGCUUGACAGGCCUGACGUCGAAUCCCAGCCCUCCCACCAACUGAGCUGUGUGAUCCUGGGCAAGGUAGAGGGGAAGAGAUUGAACUUUGCUGACCUUUGAUGUGAGGCGCUCAGCCAGGGCCAAGGGGAGAGCCUGGCAAGAUUUGCAGCCUGAAGCCAUGGGCCAGGGGGCCAUGGUGACCUGAGACAAGUGGACUCUGUAUAGUUGCCCCCUGCUUCCCCUUCUACCUCCCCUACCCUAUGCUAAGGGGACUCGUCUCCACCUCGUAAAGGAAACUCCCCAAGGGAAUCCCUGUCCCCUAUUUUCCUAUCCUUCUACCCUUCCAAGACAGUCCUAGCCUAUAGAACUCCUACCUCCCAUCCCCUGAGGUGGUCCCCAUUCCUCCCUCCCUUCCUCCCCCCGCCAUGCUCCAGUUGUGGAAGGUGGUACGCCCAGCUCGGCAGCUGGAACUGCACCGCCUCAUACUGCUGCUGAUCGCUUUCAGCCUGGGCUCCAUGGGCUUCCUGGCUUAUUAUGUGUCCACCAGCCCUAAGGCCAAGGAACCCUUGCCCCUGCCCUUGGGAGACUGCAGCAGCGGUGGGGCAGCUGGUCCUGGCCCUGCACGGCCUCCAGUUCCACCUCGGCCCCCCAGGCCUCCAGAGACAGCUCGAACUGAACCCGUGGUCCUUGUGUUUGUGGAGAGUGCAUACUCACAGCUGGGGCAGGAAAUUGUGGCCAUCCUGGAGUCUAGUCGUUUUCGUUAUAGCACUGAGUUGGCACCUGGCCGAGGGGACAUGCCCACAUUGACUGAUAAUACCCAUGGCCGCUAUGUCUUGGUCAUUUAUGAGAACCUGCUCAAGUAUGUCAACCUGGAUGCCUGGAGUCGGGAACUGCUAGACCGGUACUGCGUGGAGUAUGGUGUGGGCAUCAUUGGCUUUUUCCGAGCCCACGAGCACAGCCUACUGAGCGCCCAGCUCAAGGGCUUUCCCCUUUUUUUACACUCAAACUUGGGGCUCCGGGACUACCAAGUGAAUCCUUCUGCCCCGCUACUGCAUCUCACACGCCCCAGCCGCCUAGAACCAGGGCCACUGCCUGGUGAUGACUGGACCAUCUUCCAAUCCAAUCAUAGUACAUAUGAACCAGUGCUUCUUGCCAGCCUUCGGCCAGCUGAGCCCGCAGUGCCAGGACCAGUUCUUCGUCGGGCCCGGCUUCCCACUGUGGUACAGGACCUGGGGCUUCAUGAUGGCAUCCAGCGGGUGCUCUUUGGACAUGGCCUUUCCUUCUGGCUCCACAAACUUAUCUUCGUUGAUGCUGUUGCAUACCUCACUGGCAAGCGCCUCUGCCUGGACCUUGACCGCUACAUCUUGGUAGACAUCGAUGACAUCUUUGUGGGCAAGGAAGGGACCCGCAUGAAGGUGGCUGAUGUUGAGGCUCUGUUGACCACCCAGAACAAACUCAGGACCUUAGUUCCCAACUUCACCUUCAACUUGGGCUUCUCGGGCAAGUUCUAUCAUACUGGGACAGAGGAGGAGGAUGCAGGGGACGACAUGCUGCUGAAGCACCGCAAAGAGUUCUGGUGGUUCCCCCACAUGUGGAGCCACAUGCAGCCACACCUGUUCCACAAUCGCUCCGUGCUGGCUGACCAGAUGAGGCUCAACAAACAGUUUGCUCUGGAGCAUGGGAUUCCCACGGACCUGGGGUAUGCUGUGGCCCCCCACCACUCGGGUGUGUACCCCAUCCACACGCAGCUCUAUGAGGCCUGGAAAUCCGUGUGGGGCAUCCAGGUGACCAGCACUGAGGAGUAUCCCCAUCUCCGCCCUGCCCGCUACCGCCGUGGCUUCAUUCACAAUGGCAUUAUGGUGCUGCCCCGGCAGACAUGUGGCCUCUUCACUCACACAAUCUUCUAUAAUGAGUAUCCUGGAGGCUCUCGUGAACUAGACCGGAGCAUCCGAGGUGGAGAGCUCUUUCUGACAGUGCUGCUUAAUCCGAUCAGCAUCUUUAUGACCCAUCUGUCCAAUUAUGGAAAUGACCGGCUGGGCCUAUACACCUUUGAGAGCUUGGUGCGCUUCCUCCAGUGUUGGACACGGCUGCGCCUACAGACCCUUCCUCCUGUCCCACUUGCACAGAAGUACUUUGAACUUUUCCCUCAGGAGCGAAGCCCCCUUUGGCAGAAUCCCUGUGAUGACAAGAGGCACAAAGAUAUCUGGUCCAAGGAGAAAACCUGUGAUCGUCUCCCGAAGUUCCUCAUUGUGGGACCCCAGAAAACAGGGACUACAGCUAUUCACUUCUUCCUGAGCCUGCACCCAGCUGUAACUAGCAGCUUCCCUAGCCCCAGCACAUUUGAGGAGAUUCAGUUCUUCAACAGCCCUAAUUACCACAAGGGUAUUGACUGGUACAUGGAUUUCUUCCCUGUUCCUUCCAAUGCCAGCACUGAUUUCCUAUUUGAAAAAAGUGCCACCUACUUUGACUCUGAAGUUGUACCACGGCGGGGGGCUGCCCUCCUGCCACGAGCCAAGAUCAUCACAGUGCUCACCAACCCUGCUGACAGGGCCUACUCCUGGUACCAGCAUCAGCGAGCCCAUGGAGACCCAGUUGCUCUGAACUAUACCUUCUAUCAGGUGAUUUCAGCCUCCUCCCAGACCCCUCUGGCACUACGCUCCCUGCAGAACCGCUGUCUUGUCCCUGGCUACUAUUCUACCCAUCUACAACGCUGGCUGACUUACUACCCCUCUGGACAGUUGCUGAUUGUGGAUGGGCAAGAGCUGCGUACCAACCCAGCAGCCUCAAUGGAGAGCAUCCAGAAGUUCCUGGGUAUCACACCCUUUCUGAACUACACACGGACCCUCAGGUUUGAUGAUGAUAAGGGAUUUUGGUGCCAGGGACUUGAAGGUGGUAAGACUCGCUGUCUAGGCCGGAGCAAAGGCCGGAGGUAUCCAGAUAUGGACACUGAGGUAAGUAAAGCCAGGGGCAGGGGAAUCCCUCUCCACUUCCAGGAUCUGAUUCUGUGUCCCACUUCUUACCAUUUCUGCCUUCAUUUUCUCCUGUCAGUCCCGUCUUUUCCUUACGGAUUUUUUCCGGAACCAUAAUUUGGAGUUGUCGAAGCUGCUGAGCCGGCUUGGACAGCCAGUGCCCUCGUGGCUUCGGGAAGAACUGCAGCAUUCCAGUCUGGGCUGAUGUCCCAGCCUCCCAUACCAGCAAAAUGCCCCCUGCUUCCCUAAGGGGCAGGUCCAGAGCAGGGCCCACAAGGGGGAUUAGAGUGGCCUGGCCCCUCCCCCUCUACCUCAGUAGCCCCCAGGCCUGAGAUGGCUGAGAAGGGAAGGGUAUCCUUUUCCCACAGUUCUGGGACAAAUAAAGGGGCUUCCUUUGGUACCCCACAUAAUAGUGCUAGGUACCUUUGACCCAUCAUCUUGGGAGGUGGGGAGGAAUGAGAGGGUCCAGGCAGGGUGUAGGGGAAUGUAUUAGUCCAAUGAGAUUUCCCUCUUCAUCCGCAGCAGUGUAUCUAUUCUAUACCUGGCUAUGGGAGAGACCCCUUGCAUGGGAGGGACCCCUUGCUAUGGCCCCUUUAGCCAGGCAGUGGGAUCUACCUGUGGCCCGGCCUCCCUAAUGUCAUUCACAUUGAAUGGGGAUGAGGUCGGACAGUGGCUCAUAGAGCCGAGUAUGAGCCCUAGCUGUGGGCUAGAAAUGUCCUUAAUAAACAUCCUUAUUUUUCUGUUUUGUCUGCCUCCCUGGAGUGGGAAAAACCUAGACUAAAGCAAGUGUCAGAAGUUUCCUCCCCAGUUGAAGGUUCAUCUGCACAUGGAAUUUGGAAAGAAGGGAAAGGCCCAGGUCGACUAGAGUAAAAAAGGAGUUUAUAUAUUUAUAAAUGCCAAAUAAAUACCAGAGGCCACCCAACGCCCCCUCCCAGACAGGGCUGUCUCCCCCAGCCCUAGGCUUCUAGGGUGUGAGACAUCUUGGCCCCAAGCUAUAGCCCAAGAGCAGCUGUCAGUCUGUGCUACCAGGGAACUGAGUGAGGAUGAUCUGUCCAGCCAAGUUUCACUCCCCCUGUGUGAGGGGCCCCCAUAGCCACAGGCCUGGGUCCCUGUAUAGGACCCUAAGGGUGAAAGACUCAGGGGGAGAAGGUGGCCAUCUCGAGUGAGACCCGCUGCCACAGCUCCUUGGUCUGUUUGCUGCGCUUGAGGUUCUGUAGGAUGUCGUUGAACUGCAUCAUGCCCAUGGGCGUCAGGCAGAAGGCGCUGCGGGCACUCCGGAUCGCAUUCACAAAGUCGUCGUAGUCCGCAGGAGUCAGGUGAAUCAAGCGGUGGUGGAUGUACUGGAGGAGGAUGUGUGCAGGAUGAGCCUUAGUACAAAGCACAGAAACAGGCCCUGCCUCCCUCUGGUCCAAGACCACCCAGGAAGUGCUCCACCCUGCUCCAUAAUUCUAGGUUGUCACCUGCAUGUAUGCCUGCUGGCAGCGCUGCACCAGUUGGUGGAAGGCCGGGGCACGCAGGUGGUUGUGGGCAUGAGCGGGACUCAGCCGCUGCAGCGUCUCCAUGACGAUCUCCUGCAGCACAAACGGGCUCAGCACCCCCUUGGCUGCCCCCACACAGAACUGGUGCACGUAGUUCACUCCUGGGGGGCAGGGGGAGGGGCAUGAGACGGGGGUGGCCACCUCUGCCCUAGGGACCCAACUUACAGAUCUCAGCUCUGGCCUGGCAGAGAGCCUCCCUCCACCCCAGGAGCUGAGGUAACCCUCCGCCCCCCGCGCACGCACACAUACCCGACCAAGGCCUCAACUCUGAGCAAGAGCUAGGAAGGAGGUCUGGGAUAAGGAAGGUGGGGAGAGCAGGUGGGGGGGGGGCAAUGGUCCUAGGGAGGGGAGGUGUUACCCAGCUUUGCUGCCAGCCCCAGCAACCAUUUGACAUCAUCAGUGUAGGGGGGGGAGCGGGAGAAGUUGUUGGGGUGAUCGUUGUGUGCCCGGCGACCCAGCAUCUCCAGUGCCAGCAUUCCUGGGAGAUAGAUAAGGGUGGGCACAUGGUACGGUGUAUCCUCUUCACCCUUUACCCCAACCUGUCACCUGACCCCACAGUAAACAAAUGAAGAGCUAGAGGAAGGGUCCUCUGAAGAGCCACUGGCACAACUGCAGGUAGGAGCACAGAAAGGGAUGUCCUCUCACCGACACGGUAGGCAGCAUGCAGGUGGUGCAGGCUGUGGGGAUUGACUGGCUGACUGUGUGUCUCCUCCUCGGGCGGUGGAAAACCUCCGCUCACCAGAGGGCUGGGCUGUGUGGUCAGGGCAGGCAGUGAGGCACCUUGGAUGGCUGGAAACGUGGAUGCUGGAUGGACACUGCUCACUAAGUGGGGUGAGAGCCAUGUGAGGAACUCAGAGCCCAAAGAGAGACAAAGAACAUUCCCUCCCCACCUCCCCUGCCCAGUGUGCCUCCCCUCCAUUCACCUGUUCCCUGGCCCCACAACUCACAGGCCACACUGGUGGGCAGUGGAAGCCCUGGCUCUGUGUGGUAGGGAUGUACUGUGAUGGGUGCCAUGGAAGGAACGGGGAAAGACACAGCAGUGGCAGCAAGUGAGGGAGGAGUCACUGAAUAAGGGUACUGAGCCCCUAGGAAUGCAGGAUGCACACCCUAGGGGCAGGGAGAAGAAAGGGGAAGAUGCCAAACUUGAUUAGGAUGUUGCUGUCGUGCUUCACCCCCACAAGCUGCUAUCCUGACAUGUUUUUUUUGAGAUAGAGUCUCGCUCUGUCCUCCAGGCUGGAGUGCAGUGGCACGAUAUCGGCUCACUGCAACCUCUGCCUCCCAGGUUCAAGUGAUUCCCAUCUCAGCCUCCCAAGAAGCUGGGAUUACAGGCGUGCACUCAGCUAAUUUUUAGUAGAGACGGGGUUUCCCCAUGUUGGCCAGGCUGGUCUCGAACUCCUGACCUCAAGUGAUCCACCCACAUCGGCCUCUCAAAGUGCUGGGAUUACAGGCAUGAGCCACCAUGCCCGGCCGUCAUUUCUUAUUUUAGUUGGGCUGGGUCCCCCAGACUCCCACCACCUCACCAGGACUCUCCGACUGACCAAUUAUACUCCCAGAGUACCCACUCCAACCCCCUAUGAAUUCCCAGUAUUUUCCCAUGCCUUACCCCCCAGCAGAACACUGGUCUCACCUGUGGGUAUGCAGAGCUGGGCACAGGGAAGACGGCAGGCCGGGGCAUGUGAGGCAUGGGGUGGGCAGGGUGAGCUGGGUGAGUGAGAUACUGAGGGCUACAGGGCAGGUGGGGCUGUAGAGCAGUGUAGGGGUGCAGGCCAGGGGAGUGGCCAUGCCCCAGUCCUGGACCCGGGUAUAAACUAGACCCCACCGAUAUGACGGGCACCACUGUGGCUGCUGCUGUCACUGCUGCCGCUGCCACUGUAACCGGCUCAGUCCCUGGGCCCCCUCUACCCUCAGGCAUACCCCGCCCAGCUUCCCCACCUGCCCUGAUCCCACUGGCACUACAGCUUGUAGCCCCUUCACGGGCUGUGGAUGAGCCACCUGCAGUUUGCUCAUACAGCCAGAACCACUGGUGAGCAACCUCAAACAACACUUCAGGGUACACGCCCCCACCCUUAGCUGCCUCUUCCACUGCCAUGCAGGCCUUCUCCAACAUCAGGUUGUCCUGGAAGAGAGGGGCACAGAGUGUUAAGGGGGAAAGGCCUUUACCACAUGGAAGGUGUUAGAUGAGAUUCCAAUGUCUCCCUCAGAGCUGUCUCAUUCCCAGGGAAUCAUCAGAGGUCAGUGUCAAUGCUUAGAGUCCAUUAUCAGAGCAGUGAGUGCUUCACACACUGAGUAAAUACUGACCAAAAUGAGUCAAGACCCAGGUUAUAGUCCCAGUUCCAAACUAAUUUAACAGCCCCCUCCCAUUCAAGUCUUAGAUGUAUGAGGCCUUCCCUAAGUUUUCUAUCCUGAGUGAUCAUCUUGGUCCCUAAACCGUAGGCCUCCAUUUCCUUAUCUGUAAAAUAGAAAUAAACCUAACCUUUGAGUUGUAAGGUAAAGGAAAGAUGGGUGUGAAAGCACAUUAAUGGGUAAAAUGUUGCCAUGAGAGGACCAACAAUCAUCUGUAAACUCCAGGAUACGGGAAUCAAGAGCUGGGCCCUUAGCUUUCCCAUGCCCAACCUCCCUGCCCAGAUGCCCCAGAAGAGGUUCCCAGAUUGCCCGUAGAAAUACCUGUUCCUUGCACUGCACCAGGGCCCGCUGGAUCUCAUUAGGGUUCAAUGCAUGGGCGUGAGGCAGGCAGCUCAGGGCCAGCUCUGCUGCCGCCCUCACCAUAUUGGAGUCUCUUGCCCGUGAUGCCCUGUCAGCCAGGGAUGCAACCUCAGGGGGUGUCAGGUGCCCAUCCCAGCAUUCUACCAGUAUAGUCAGGGCUGCGCUGCCUAUCUCCAUGGCCUGGCCUUAGGGGAAAGGAGAGAAGGGCAGAGUUGGGUUAGUGUGGGCACCACUGGGGUGUGAGAAUAAUGUCUUUUUAUCAGAUCAGUAACCCCACAAAGAUAAGGGUCUUAUCCCCACCAAUUAAUCCCCCUCCCAUACCCAAGUCAGGUCAAAUGAUUUACCUGUAAUCCAGGAAACGUGGGAAGAAUAAGUACGUGAGAGCCAGUUGGGAGAAACAAAGUUGUGCAGGCCAAGGGCAUAAAGCCCAAUCUCGAAGGCGCAAAGGUGCAGGUUGCGGUGAGGACCCUGGUGGCCCCCUGAGGAAGAUGGAUGUGUGAAAAUGGAAGUGCUGCUGUUGCCCCCUGCCUUGAUCAGCACUGUCUUCGCCAGCUCGAAGUAGAAGUGUGCAGCUGCCUCUGAUGGCUGAUUGGUCUUCGCCCGGGCUCCUCCACUGGCACUGGCCCGGCGACUUCCACUGGAGGAUGAGGAGCCCAGGGAGUCCGAAGAAGAGCUGCUAAUGCUGUCACUGUCCUGACCUCGACCCCAGGAGGUGGGGGCCCAGCCCCCUCGAAGUGGUCUCCGGCUUAAGGUGGGGGAACUAUCCGAUGUUGUUUCAGGGGCACUGCUGUCAAUGCUGGCCAUGCCUAACCCCCAAGAGAAGUCAGUCUCAGAAGUCAGGAGUCCCAGAUGUUAAGACUCCAACCUUCAGGAUUAUCCUUCCCUCUAUGCUAGCCCACAGGCUAUCCUACCUGUGUGCUUCUUCUUAGGCCGUCCUGGGGACCCCCAUCCCCGUCCAUUAUAGCCUCCACGACUGCCAAGUGCCAAGCGGCUAGGAACCUUCCCUUCUGGCCUUGGGGUCAAAGCUGCCUCAGAUGGAAGACCCUCACAGGGGGAAUGUGGGGAACUCUCUAGGUGAGGAAAACAGGACGCUGGGAUGAGCCCAGGAAAGGGGACCUCAACAUAGGUCCACACCAUUCAUCCCCCCUGCCCAGUGCCCCCACCUCACCAGGCACAUUCUUCUCUGUGAAGCCCUCAGUGGGGCCUGGCCCAGCCCCUGCCACACUCCCUGGUUGAGCAGGCCCUGCAGAGCCUGAGGUCAGUGGUUGCAGGGCCCCUGGGGCAGAUGGGCCCCCGUGCUUUGAAGGAGACCUCUGGCUGGCUGUGGUUGGGCGGCUAGAUGAGUAGAAAGAACUCAGCGUCUGUGGCUUAUGUGUCUGGCUCUCUCGGUCCAAGAGUUUGUCUAAGAUCUGGAAGACAGAAGCAGUGACCUCCAGAGAAGCAGUGACAGGAUGCCCUUUAGCUCCUGACUUCUAUUACCUUCCUUUCUCCUUGAAACAGCCAAUUGCUACAUCCUCAGGGAGCCUUCCCCACUUACAACCACAGGAUGACCUCCUGGUUUACAUGUCUUUUUGUAACUUAUUUAACCCCAACAUAUCUUGGUAUCCUCCAUUAACACCACAGGGCAGAAUAUACUGAUAGUCAAUAAAUACUGAAAUAAGUGAAUGAA